UGCCAGACUCCUACGGGAGGCAGCAGUGGGGGAUAUUGCACAAUGGGGGGAACCCUGAUGCAGCGACGCCGCGUGGGUGAAGGAGCGUUUCGGCGCGUAAAGCCCUAUCGGCAGGGAAGAAGGAGGACGGUACCUGACUAAGAAGCCCCGGCUAACUACGUGCCAGCAGCCGCGGUAAUACGUAGGGGGCAAGCGUUAUCCGGAUUUACUGGGUGUAAAGGGGGCGCAGGCGGCAGCGCAAGCCAGGAGUGAAAGCCCGGGGCCCAACCCCGGGACUGCUCUUGGAACUGCGCGGCUGGAGUGCGGGAGGGGCAGGCGGAAUUCCUGGUGUAGCGGUGAAAUGCUUAGAUAUCACGAAGAACCCCGAUUGCGAAGGCAGCUUACUAAACUGUGACUGACAUUGAUGCUCGAAAGUGUGGGUAUCAAACAGGAUUAGAUACCCUAGUA
rnacentral:rRNA from 1 species